ACUCCUACGGGAGGCAGCAGUGGGAAUAUUGCACAAUGGGCGCAAGCCUGAUGCAGCCAUGCCGCGUGUGUGAAGAAGGCCUUCGGGUUGUAAAGCACUUUCAGUCGUGAGGAAGGGUAGUGUAGUUUAAUAGCUGUAUUAUUUGACGUUAGCGACAGAAGAAGCACCGGCUAACUCCGUGCCAGCAGCCGCGGGUAAUACGGAGGGUGCGAGCGUUAAUCGGAAUUACUGGGCGUAAAGCGCAUGCAGGUGGUUUGUUAAGUCAGAUGUGAAAGCCCGGGGCUCAACCUCGGAAUUGCAUUUGAAACUGGCAGACUAGAGUACUGUAGAGGGGGUGAG
rnacentral:rRNA from 1 species